AUGAGCCCGCGGCCUAUCAGCUUGUUGGUGAGGUAACGGCUCACCAAGGCGACGACGGGUAGCCGGCCUGAGAGGGCGACCGGCCACACUGGGACUGAGACACGGCCCAGACUCCUACGGGAGGCAGCAGUGGGGAAUAUUGCACAAUGGGCGAAAGCCUGAUGCAGCGACGCCGCGUGAGGGAUGACGGCCUUCGGGUUGUAAACCUCUUUCAGCAGGGAAGAAGCGAAAGUGACGGUACCUGCAGAAGAAGCGCCGGCUAACUACGUGCCAGCAGCCGCGGUAA
rnacentral:rRNA from 1 species